UCGAUGGUAGGAUAGAGGCCUACCAUGGUGGUAACGGGUAACGGGGAAUUAGGGUUCGAUUCCGGAGAGGGAGCCUGAGAAACGGCUACCACAUCCAAGGAAGGCAGCAGGCGCGCAAAUUACCCAAUCCCGACACGGGGAGGUAGUGACAAUAAAUAACAAUACGGGGCUCUUUCGGGUCUUGUAAUUGGAAUGAGUACAAUUUAAAUCUCUUAACGAGGAACAAUUGGAGGGCAAGUCUGGUGCCAGCAGCCGCGGUAAUUCCAGCUCCAAUAGCGUAUAUUAAAGUUGUUGCAGUUAAAAAGCUCGUAGUUGAAUUUCGGGAUCAAUGUUUCGGUCAUGCCGUUGGUAUGUACUGAUAUUAUUGAUUUCUCACCUUCUAAAGAACCGUAAUGCCAUUAAUUUGGUGUCACGGGGAAUUAGGACUGUUACCUUGAAAAAAUUAGAGUGUUUAAAGCAGGCUCACGCUUGAAUACAUUAGCAUGGAAUAAUGAAAUAGGACAUCCGAUUCUAUUUUGUUGGUUUCUAGGAUCGAUGUAAUGAUUAAUAGGGAUAGUUGGGGGCAUUAGUAUUCAAUUGUCAGAGGUGAAAUUCUUGGAUUUAUUGAAGACUAACUACUGCGAAAGCAUUUGCCAAGGAUGUUUUCAUUAAUCAAGAACGAAAGUUAGGGGAUCGAAGACGAUCAGAUACCGUCGUAGUCUUAACCAUAAACUAUGCCGACUAGGGAUCGGAUGAUGUUAAUUUUUUAAUGACUCAUUCGGCGCCUUACGGGAAACCAAAGUGUUUGGGUUC
rnacentral:rRNA from 1 species